rnacentral:rRNA from 1 species
GACGAACGCUGGCGGCGUGCCUAAUACAUGCAAGUAGAACGCUGAAGGAGGAGCUUGCUUCUCUGGAUGAGUUGCGAACGGGUGAGUAACGCGUAGGUAACCUGCCUGGUAGCGGGGGAUAACUAUUGGAAACGAUAGCUAAUACCGCAUAAUAGUAGAUGUUGCAUGACAUUUGCUUAAAAGGUGCAAUUGCAUCACUACCAGAUGGACCUGCGUUGUAUUAGCUAGUUGGAGGGGUAACGGCUCACCAAGGCGACGAUACAUAGCCGACCUGAGAGGGUGAUCGGCCACACUGGGACUGAGACACGGCCCAGACUCCUACGGGAGGCAGCAGUAGGGAAUCUUCGGCAAUGGACGGAAGUCUGACCGAGCAACGCCGCGUGAGUGAAGAAGGUUUUCGGAUCGUAAAGCUCUGUUGUAAGAGAAGAACGAGUGUGAGAGUGGAAAGUUCACACUGUGACGGUAUCUUACCAGAAAGGGACGGCUAACUACGUG